rnacentral:rRNA from 1 species
CGUAGGGUGCGAGCGUUAAUCGGAAUUACUGGGCGUAAAGCGUGCGCAGGCGGUUUGUUAAGAUAGGCGUGAAAUCCCCGGGCUCAACCUGGGAACUGCGCUUAUGACUGGCAAGCUAGAGUACGGCAGAGGGGGUGGAAUUCCACGUGUAGCAGUGAAAUGCGUAGAGAUGUGGAGGAACACCAAUGGCGAAGGCAGCCCCCUGGGUCGAUACUGACGCUCAUGCACGAAAGCGUGGGUAGCAAACAGGAUUAGAUACCCUGGUAGUCCACGCCCUAAACGAUGUCAACUAGGCGUUGGGAGGGUAAAACCUUUUAGUACCGGAGCUAACGCGUGAAGUUGACCGCCUGGGGAGUACGGCCGCAAGGUUA